rnacentral:rRNA from 1 species
GACGAACGCUGGCGGCGUGCUUAACACAUGCAAGUCGAACGGAAAGGCCCUGCUUGCAGGGUCCUCGAGUGGCGAACGGGUGAGUAACACGUGGGUGAUCUGCCCUGCACUUCGGGAUAAGCCUGGGAAACUGGGUCUAAUACCGGAUAGGAGCCAUUUUUUGUGUGAUGGUUGGAAAGUUUUUUCGGUGUAGGAUGAGCUCGCGGCCUAUCAGCUUGUUGGUGGGGUAAUGGCCUACCAAGGCGGCGACGGGGAGCCGGCCUGAGGGGGUGGACGGCCACAUUGGGACUGUGAUACGGCCCAGACUCCUACGGGAGGCAGCAGUGGGGAAUAUUGCACAAUGGGCGCAAGCCUGAUGCAGCGACGCCGCGUGGGGGAUGACGGCCUUCGGGUUGUAAACUCCUUUCGCUAGGGACGAAGCUGUUUGUGACGGUACCUAGAUAAGAAGCACCGGCUAACUACGUG